rnacentral:rRNA from 1 species
UACGGAGGGGGUUAGCGUUGUUCGGAAUUACUGGGCGUAAAGCGCGCGUAGGCGGAUUAGAAAGUUGGGGGUGAAAUCCCGGGGCUCAACCUCGGAACUGCCUCCAAAACUGCUAGUCUAGAGUUCGAGAGGGGAUGGUAGAAUGUCAAGUGUAGCGGUGGAAUGCGUAGAUAUUUGAUAGAAUACCUGAGGCGAAGGCGACCAUCUGGCUCGAUACUGACACUGAGGUGCGAAAGUGUGGGGAGCAAACAGG